rnacentral:rRNA from 1 species
UGCUCGAGUGGCUAACGGGUGAGUAACACGUGGGUGAUCUGCCCUGCACUUCGGGAUAAGCUUGGGAAACUGGGUCUAAUACCGGAUAGGACCAUCGUUUAGUGUCGGUGGUGGAAAGUUUUUUCGGUGUGGGAUGAGCUCGCGGCCUAUCAGCUUGUUGGUGGGGUAAUGGCCUACCAAGGCGUCGACGGGUAGCCGGCCUGAGAGGGUGUACGGCCACAUUGGGACUGAGAUACGGCCCAG